GACGAACGCUGGCGGCUUGCUUAACACAUGCAAGUCGAACGGAAAGGCCCUGCUUUUGUGGGGUGCUCGAGUGGCGAACGGGUGAGUAACACGUGAGUAACCUGCCCUUUACUUUGUGAUAACUUCAGGAAACUGGGGCUAAUACCGGAUAGGAGCUCCUGCUGCAAGGUGGGGGUUGGAAAGUUUCGGCGGUUGGGGAUGGACUCGCGGCUUAUCAGCUUGUUGGUGGGGUAGUGGCUUACCAAGGCUUUGACGGGUAGCCGGCCUGAGAGGGUGACCGGCCACAUUGGGACUGAGAUACGGACCAGACUCCGACGGGAGGCAGCAGUGGGGAAUAUUGCACAAUGGGCGGAAGCCUGAUACAGCAACGCCGCGUGCGGGAUGACGGCCUUCGGGUUGUAAACAGCUUUCGCCUGUGACGAAGCGUGAGUGACGGUAAUGGGUAAAGAAGCACCGGCUAACUACGUG
rnacentral:rRNA from 1 species